CGAAAGUCAACAUAUCCAUCACCAGCAAUUAGUUUAUACAGUAAUUAAUUAAAUUAAUGAGAGUGUGCUUACACAUUGUGGCAGAAGUUGAAUCAGAUCCAUGUAUUCUGCAUAAUACAGCUUGUAAUUGUAUCCAACAAUUGCAGCAUAUUUAAUCGAAUGCUGCUUCUUCAUUUUUCUGACUCAACCAGUUGAAUUAACUUCUAUAAUUUAGGGGCGCAGUACUAGAUAUUCACUGUUUUUCCUUCAACUGAGAUUGAUCAUGGCGGCCUACGCAGCCUUGGUUUCUCUCAUGCAUAUCAUCGAUAAAAUCGCGCAUCAUCCUUCCCCUCCAAUUUUUAUCCACAAACAACAAGCUGAAUCUCUCAAUGAAAUUAUCACCUUCUUGCAGGAAUUUCUCGAAGCCUAUUACCCCCCUUUUAGCUGCAGCGAUGAAGCAGAUCCGUUGGAGAUGCGUAUUGCAGAUGCAGCUUAUGCAGCUGAAGAUGCUAUUGAAUCACAUAUUGUGGACGUGAUUAAACUGUGUAGAUCUAGUUCCAGUGUAGUCAAUUCUAGAGACGAAGUCAGUUCCAUUCAAAAUCUAUAACAAGUGAUGGAAGAAAUGAAAUCCCUAACUCAAAUUGUUACCUUCUUGCAGGAAUUUCUAGAAGGCUCCCUUUCCGGCUACUGCGAUGAAGCAGAUCCGUUGGAGAUGCCUAUUGUAGAUGCAGCUCGUGCGGCUGAAGAAGUGAAUUCUGGAGAGGAAGUCAGUUGCAUCGACUUCUAUCGAGAUCUGCAACAAGUGAUAGAAGAAAUGAAUGUGAUCAAGAAAGAAGCCAUGGAGACUUCAGCUGAAGCUCAGAUGCAAAGAAAGGUCUCCUCGACUCAUGCUGGCUCCUUCACGUCCUCUUCCACUGUGAAGGAAAGCGUGAUGGUGGGCUUUGAUGAUGUGAAACUUCAACUCUUGGAUAAGCUCGUUGGAGGGCACCGCAGUCGCCAAAUCAUCCCUAUUAUAGGGAUGGGCGGGAUUGGUAAGACCACUCUUGCCCGGAAUAUAUUUGAGCAUGCGCUUGUGAAGGAGCAUUUUGAUCUUCGUUCUUGGGUUACAAUUUCUGAAACUUAUAAUGUUAGCGAAACACUUAGACAAGUUCUUUACCAAGUAGGUGGGGGUUCGGGUAGUGAGAACGAAUUGGGAGUGAAAUUACAUAAGCAUUUAUUUGGUAGGAGGUAUCUCAUAAUACUGGAUGAUAUGUGGGAUGUAGAGGCGUGGGACCAGAUGAGGGUUUCCUUUCCUGAUAACAAUAAUGGGAGUCGAGUGAUCGUAACAACUAGGCAAUGGAAAUUGGCUGCCGUGUUGACAGACUCUAACACCAUUGGUAUGAGACUUUUAGAUGGUGUUAGUAGCUGGAAUUUGUUCUCCAAAACUGUAUUUGGAGAACAAAGUUUCCCUCCUCAAUUCGAGGAGAUUGGAAAGAAAAUUGUGAAAAAGUGUAAUGGACUUCCUUUGUCCAUUGCUGUGAUUGGGGGUCUUUUGGCGAAGUCGGAACUUACACUGGAAUAUUGGGAGCACAUAGGGAAAAACUUAAUCUCAAUAGUGAAUUCAGAGAAUGAUGAGUAUUACUUGAGAGCAUUGAAACUAAGCUAUGACCAUUUGCCUGCCUAUCUGAAGCCUUGUUUUUUGUAUAUGGGAGUGCUUGAGGAAGAUCGUGUCGUUAAAGUCUCAACACUCGUCGAGCUAUGGGUUUCUGAAGGAUUUCUUAAACCGAUAAUCAAUAAAAGCUUGGAAACAGUUGCCGACGAUUAUCUCAAGGAGCUAGUUGAGAGAAACCUCAUUCUUGUUCAUGAGUUGGGGUCACUUGGGAAUAUAAAGCGCUGCAAAAUGCAUGAUCUACUGAGAGAUCUAUCUUUGAAAGAGGCUCAAAAGCAGAGGUUUUAUUAUGUCUUAAGACAGCGUUGUCCUCGAGGCAUAGAUAGCCAACGCCGCAUUGUUAUUCCCGAAAGUACUUCAAAUAAAAGAGUUUGUAAUACCUUGGAACCUAUGCCACUUGUUCGUUCUUGUGUAUGUGGUAGUCAUCAAGUUCCGCAGUUUCUAAAUUGUAGAUUGUUUAGGACACUGGCUAUAUGUGCGGAUCCAGAUGAGUAUUACUUACAAGGUAUAUUUCAAUUGGUGAACUUGAGGUACCUUUACUUUCGAUUUCGUGAGAGCUUCCAAAUCCCUUCUUCAAUCACUAUGUUCUGGAAUCUACAUACACUAAUUGUAGAUUAUCGAAAUUUUCUUAGCGUACCAAUAGAAAUUUGGAAAAUGCAUCAGCUUAAGCAUGCCGUAUUUUAUGGGAUGUAUCUCCCAGAUCCUCCGAGCAGCCAUAGUGAUGAUAUCGUUAUCAUGGAGAAUCUAGAGAUGCUCAAACGAGUGAUCGAUUUCAACUUGAAUGAAGAAGUGGUUAAAAGGAUUCCCAAUAUCAAGAAAUUGGAAAUAAGUUACUUGACAAAACUGAUGGACAGAUUGAAGUGCCUCAGCUAUCUUCAAUGUCUGAGUAAGCUGGAAAACUUGAGGUGCUAUACUGAUGAUGAAAGUGAUGAGUAUCUGCAGAGUAUCACCUUCCCACACUCACUUAGGAAGCUGUAUCUUCGAUGCGGAAAGUUCCCUUUGGAGGAAGUUCUGGAAAAGAUAGGUUCGUUACCACUACUUGAGAAGCUCACAUUGGGUUAUGGGCAGUUUGCAACACGCAGUUGGGAAAUAGUUGAAGGCCAAUUCCCCUGCCUCAAAUACAUGAGAUUGUAUUUAUGUGCGGAUAUGGAACGUUGGACGUUAGAGGGCUCCUGCUUGCCGCGCCUUGAGCAACUUCAUCUCUCAUCCAUGAAGUCAUUGGAGGAGUUCCCUUUAGAAAUUGGAGAAAUACCAACACUCAGAUCAAUUGGAUUGUAUGACUGCAGUGAAUCAAUGGCUAUGUCUUUGAAAACGAUAGUAGAGGAACAAGAGGACUUACAAGGGGACCUAUCCUUUCAUGUUCAAGUUACGUCACGCGACGUCAGCCAAGAACUACAAAGCUCGGCAACUCCCAACUUUCGUGUAAUCAAAUCUAAUUAAACUACUUGUAGUUUGAUUACUGUUUUGAGUUAUUCAGUUGUGGGAUUACUAUCUUUGAGUGGUUAAUGUUCUAUAUCUCUCUCUCUUCCUUCUUCUAAGUGCCGGAUUAUGGUUUCUUUUCAUUUUAGUGGGAUUACUAUUUUGAGUGGUUAAUGUUCUAUUCAGUUGUGGGAUUACUGUUUUGAGUGGUUAAUGUACUAUUUUAAGCUUCAACUUUUAAUAAUAAUUAUUAAUUUACAGAUCACAAUUCCACGCUAUCUAUUGGUUGUUUACAUUUGGAAUCGUACUUUGCUGCUUAAAAUUUUAACUAUUUUACAGUAAAAAGUCCAAUUCAUGAAUUUCUACAAUAAUAUUUUUAGUAAUUAUAUUCAUCUCCCUUAAUUUACUCUUCAUAGCUCCUUUGUUUCAAAAAAUAUUAAAAUUAUUUAAUAAUUUACUAUCUUAUCCUUAUAUCCUCCGAUAAUAAAUUGCAACGUGAGAGCACGACCACAUUGUUACAAGUUCCAAAUAAUAUUCUUCCACGAAUAUCGAAAUGAAAAUUUUUGUAGAGAAAUCUAGAUUUACAAUCAAAACAUUAAUGGAGAAGAAAUAAGAGCAGGAUGAACUAAGAAUGAUGAAAGCUUCAAAUUGUUACAAGUUCCAAAUAAUAUUUUCUUUAACGAGCAUCAAAAUGAAUAAUUUUGUUGAAUAAAUUUAGAUUUACAGCCAAACAUUCAAUGAAGAAGACAUCAGAGCUGAAAGUUCAAAGAGGCAUGCGAGGCCAUUGUUGUAUAAAGAAUAAAUAGUGACUAAAAAAAAUAAAAUAAGAGCUAUAAAUAAAAUUAGUUGUAGGCGGUAGGCCAUUACCAUUUGGCCACGUUCAAAGCUUCGCUUUGUUUUUAGGACAUUUACACAUUUCUAGGAGUAUUAUAGUAACAUAAAAAGUUGAUUGUAACACAAACAAAUGUUAUUGUGCAUAUAGAAAAUAUUAUCUUAAAAAAAAAUUUAGAUAAAAAAAAACCUCAUAGUUUCUAGUCAUUACAAGAUGAAAUGUUUCCACCUAAAGUUAUCCCUAUACAUGUACUAUGUAAAAAUAUUUUUGAAACAAUUGAUUUGCUAAUUUAGUGGUUGCACUUAUAUAGCAAUUUAGCAUGCUUGUUAUGAAUUAUGAUUCACAUUUAUAGUCCCCCCCAAAAAAAGUAUUUGUAGAAAACAUGGCCAAAAAUGAAAGGGAAAUUAUUACCCAAAAGACAAUUCUACCCCUCUGACUUGCAUCAAGAUAUGAGUUUUUCACAAGACUAGUGUUAAAUCCAUUAAACCAGAGAGCAACGGCUUUGUGAAUUUCGGUUUCUUUUUGUCGGUGCCCCGAUCUGCUCCAUUUGCCCCAGCUCGAGAUCGGGCGUUCUCAGCCGUCCGAUCUCUCUCUACUGCGCGGAUCCGAUUUCCUUUUGUAAGGUUUCUGCUGUUUCGAAUUGUUAAUUUUGUUUCUAUUGUUGAUCAGUAUCUGUUGGUUUGGCGGCAUUUCGUGUGAUGUUUUUGUUUUCUAGUUUUGAUCAUCUCGCAUUCUUGAGCUAUCAUGUGCAUUUGCGAAAUCUGAAGACCGGAAAAUGAGUGUGGAUCAUGAGAAUUUUGAGAUUGUGAUACUUGAUUUUGAUUAAUGGAUGAAUCUAAUUAAUCACAUUUGUAAGUGUGCUUUGGAUUUUGACAGUGUAUCAAUGUUUAAUUCCAUCCGAGUGUAUUGCGUUGAAUUCGAAUUAGCACUGUCCGCAGCUGAAUGUGGGAGUAUCCGGAUUACGACUGUACACUUGCAUUUUGAUCGACAUUGGGGUUUGGGGGAAAAAAACAAUUCCGAAAUUGCGAAAUUAGAGUUAACUCCGAUUUUGCAAUUUGAAACUUUGUGAAAGAGAUUACUGAAUAAUUUUGAACUAGCUUUAAGAUAUAAUUAUAGUAUCUGACAAUCAAUUUGGCCCUACUACUGUAUGCUUGUUCUUUCUUUGAACUGAUAAUUUUUCUGGUGUGGCAGGAUACCUGCAAUGGUAAUGGAUAGUCAAAGUUGGUAUUUGGAUUUAAACCAUGAACAGUGGGCAGCACUCCCAGUAGAAGGGCAGCGCCCUGCUGCUCGGUACAAGGUGGGGUUGUCUAGAAAAUUGAAUUCCAUGGACCCUCAACUCUUUCUUUUUCUUUUUUGAAAUUUUCUGCUACUUUCUUUUCUUGGUAAAAGCUGUUAAUUUGUAAACUUUAAUUGCUAUUUACAAUUUUUUUAAUGCACUUGUUUCCUAUAUAUUUGUUCUUGCCAUACAGCAUGCUGCAACAGUGUUUGGAGAGAAGUUAUACAUUAUGGGUGGAAGCCGCAAUGGUAGAUACCUAUCUGAUUUACAGGUAUUGCUAACUCUUCCUUGCUUACAAUUCAUGAAUUUUUGGUUUUCGGUUUACCUUUUAUUAUAAUUUGAUUUGAUUUGAUUGCAUGGUUUUAGGUGUUUGAUCUGAAAAACUUGAUGUGGUCAAGUAUCAAGCUGAACAUGGAAGCUGCUGAUGAUAAAAGUAAAGAUGGUGCUAAAAUGGAAGCUUUCUCGGCAACCUCGGGCCACAGUAUGGUAAAACAAUUGGAAGUUUCAUUUUUAUGCCUUUAAUGCUCUCUUCCUUUGCCCAUUUAUCAUCUUUUCUCAUUUUAAGGCUGCAAAUAGCCAUGAUUAGUUUUGGAGUGAGAUUAGUUUACUUUUAAAUAUAUGUACUUGAUCUAUUCAGACUUAAAUUUUCCAUCUCCAGAUCAAGUGGGAUGGAAGACUUCUUCUUCUUGCUGGCCUCACAAAGGAGAGUGGUGACACAGUCGUAGGUUCGUUUUUAAGAUAAAUAUGCUAAGCUCUUGAUUCUGCUAAACUAACAUUGCUGUCUUCGUUUAAAUUAUUUUUUGGUCCAAUGCUGAUGCUUUUCUUUUCCUGUAUACUUUGUAGUGCGGUUCAUUGAUCUUGAAUCAUACCAUUGCGGCGUUGUUGAGACCUUUGGAAAUAUUCCGGUAAACUGAUUCGUUGACUUCCCAUUAGAAGUUUUGUUUUCUUCAUACAAGUUCUCCCUUCAUUAACUGAACAUGUCCCUUGUUUGUGACUUGAUGAGUCGUAUGAAUAAAACAAGAUUUAUCUAGUUUCUGUAAGAUAUUUUCUUGGGCGUUUAUUUUUGCCUCAAACAUGUAAUAUUAAGCAUUCUUGUGGUAUUUCAUUAGGCAGUUCAGAGUGGACAGUGUAUGUAUGCUUAUUAUUUAUUCAUUUUUCCCUCAAUGGUGUAAUUAUUAGGUAUUGUCAUGGUAUUUCAUUAGGUAGCUCGGAGUGGGCAGUCUGUUACGCAGUUUGGUUCUAAAAUUAUCAUGUUUGGUGGAGAAGACCGCCAUAGACGAUUACUAAAUGAUGUUCAUGUUCUUGAUUUGGAGACAAAAACAUGGAGUGCUGUUGAGACUACGUAUGUUAUCUACUCAAACUAGUGAUUACUAUAUACAUUUUUGUCGAUGAAUUCCAAUUAUUAUUUGUUUUUUACUUUGACAGCCAGACACCUCCAUCCCCUAGAUUUGAUCACGCAGCUGCUCUACAUGCUGAUCGAUAUCUUUUCAUCUUCGGUGGAUGCUCUCAUUCAGUCUUCUACAAUGACCUUCAUGUGUUGGACUUAGAAACAGUGAGCUUACCUUCGUCUAUUCAUAGAUCAGAUGGUUUAAGCAUACUUUCAAUUGUAUUUCUGUCCAUCUUGAUCCAGCCGUGGUAAUGACAUGCAAGCAAUAAAGAAACUAACGCUAUCUUCCCUAAAAAGUAAUUAACUGAGUGAAUAGAAAUCCAUAUCAAGUGAACCUUUAGAAUAUCUGGUUUCUUGGUUGCUCUUAGUCUUUUCCACCCAACUGACUCCUUUUACUGUGAUAUAUGAUAUGUGUAGACAUAAUAUUGUGGGAAUAAAAGAUAUAUAUUCAAUAGGAAGAAUACAUGUAUAUAUACAAGAGUAUUAGGUAAAUUAGGAAUAGAAAUUCGUAAACUAAAUCAGAUUAUGGCCAAGUGUUGCUCUGUGCUCUGCAUUCAUGGAGUUUGUUUUCAGAACAUCUCUAUUUUAUAAUCAAGUUUAUAUGCCUGUUUCUUUUGCAUACAACUUAUAUAAUUUCUUGUUAUAUGUUUGCUUUCAAGUUCUUUUUGUUUGCUGCAGAUUUUAGGACCACCAGACAAUAGUAAUGGGAGAUUUUUUGAAACUCAUGUGACCAACUAAUUUAGUUAAUUGCAUAUGUUGUCCGAAACUAUUGUGGGUUAUAUACUUUUUCAUUUUCCCCCCAAGGCAAAUAUAGAUAAUUUUGUUGGGUAUAUUGGAUGAGGAAACUACGACUUAUCCACAAUAUUGGCUUUAAAAAAUAAGUUAUCAAAAAGCUCGUCAGUUUUUCUAGACCUUCUGAAAUAAACUAAAGACAUUCAACUUGCAGAAGGGAGUAAGGUCCUUGGAUUUGUUGGGAUUAUCCAUCUUGAGUUACCCAAGUGUUAUUUGCUAUUAAGAUGAAUAUUAAAUGGACUGCAAUUCUUUUAUUGUAGAUGGAAUGGUCCAGACCACAAUUGCAGGGUGAUUUGAUUGCUCCUAGGGCUGGUCAUGCUGGUGUUGCAGUUGAUGGAAAUUGGUAUAUGGUUGGUGGUGGAGAUAACAAAAGUGGUGGGUGAAAUCAAUAUAGGGUUGAGUUUCUUGUAGAUUUCAAUUUCCUUCUCACAUUAGCCCAUGCUUUUGUUUUUCUAUGACUAGUUGUGAACACACCAUUUUUCUUGCAGGUGCCCUAGAGACCAUUGUUAUAAAUAUGUCUAAGCUUGCUGUAUCCGUGGUGACUAGUGUAAAAGGAAGAGAUCCACUAGCUAGUGAGGUACCACACUGUGCUGUGUUUGAUUUGUCUCAUUGUCAUUUAAGUUGUUUCUAUAGAUUAUUUAACUUGUAUUCCACAUAUUUAUUGUUUGCACGAGAGUUUGAUGUGAAAUGUAUAACAGGGUAUCAGCAUUUCAUCUGCAUCACUUGGUAGUGAGAAUUUGUUGAUCACAUUUGGCGGCUACAAUGGGAAGUAUUACAAUGAGGUAUUUUUUUGUGAUUGUACAAGUGUAUCUACCUUCAUACCAGAAGUGAUAAUGAUUGGAUCUUGGCUUAUGCUCAAUAUGAUGAUGGUUUUGUCUUUUUUGUUUGUCUUACAAUUAAGAAAGCUUCCAUCCUUGUAUGAUAGAGGUAUUUGUAUUUUAUGGGACAAAUAAAUCUACCCGGGGACACAAAAAUGGGAAGUACGACGAUGAAUGAUAUAUGAGAGAAAAUAAUUUAUUUGUAUAGGAAAUCUUUAUCUGUGUAAUUAGCGGGUGUUUUGAAAAAACUCUUGGAAGCAAAUAUGCCUUUUUAGCUUAAUUUCAGCAUGGAGAAGUUUUGACAGAAUGCAACUUCUGUCUGAGCAGUACCUCGACAGCUCUAAGUAGAACCUGACAAUCUUUAACAUAAUUCCGUCCAUGCUGUUAGGCUAGCCCUUUUUUUGUUCCUGUUAUCCUUGCUGCGGGGAUUCUUCCUCAUUUCUACUUUUCCAUUUAAUCAUAUAAUUACCUCUUUUGGUUUUUCAAUACUUUCACUUUCUUGUUUGCCUAGUGUUUUAACUCAAACUCACCCGUAGGUUUGGUGUAUCCUUUCGUGUAUAGGUGUUUGCUAUGAGGGUCAAACCUAGGGAUUAUUUGCAUCCUAAGAUUUUGCAAUCACCAGCAGCAGCUGCUGCCGCUGCUUCUGUUACUGCUGCAUAUGCCCUGGCAAAACCUGAACUGUUGAAUUUCAGUGAAAAAGAAGAUUUGAAUUCUAAGAUAAUCCCAGUGGAUACCUCCCAGAAGGAUAUUUCGGCUGAAAUUAACUCAAUCAAAGAAGAAAAGAAGGCUUUGGAAUUGUCACUUGCUGAGAUUACAACCGACAACUCUGCUAUCAAGACAAAGAUUGAAGAGAUAAAAGGAAAUUAUGCUGAGCUGUCCAAGGUUAGGUGAAAGAAUAUUGUUUAAACCUUUUGCAAUUUUCGUUAUAAAAAUAUUUAUCAUUGUGAACUGGAUACAGGAAUUGCAUUCAGUGCAAGGACAGCUUGUUCAGGAGAGGUCAAGAUGUGCCAACCUGGAGGUCAUGCAACUAUUCAUUUUUUCUUCUUUCUUUCUUUUCUAUCUUUUUUUUUUUGGUCAUUUCAACUUUCUUGAACUUCUCAUCCUGGGGAAUUGGGGACGACCAGCUAAAUUAUGCUCUUCUAGAGUGAGUGACAUGUUAAUUGCUCUGGCUUAUUUUUGAUAUAUGCCAUAUUUUAUGCCUUUUUUAGGCACAAAUAGCGGAGCUACAGAAGGUGCUCGAAUCACUCCCGUCAUUAGAAGAAGAGGUUCAAGCACUUAGAAGAGAAAAAUCUGCACUUGAAAGUGAUAUGGAGCACGCAGAAGUCCAGAAGCAGCGAUCUGGUGGUAUCUGGAAGUGGGUUGCAGGAUAAGCUAAUUGCUUGGAACAGAUGAAGUUGCCAAGGGCAGUUGAGCAAGUUCUCUCUGAUGUGGAGUCCGUAAAUCUGGUGACUGUCCGACUGAAGACCCGGGAGGCUCUCGUGACCUUUACUGAGAUCACUGUGCUUGCCAGAGCAAAAUUUGAAGUACUUUUUCCUCUUGUAGAAUGUCUUGGCUUAGAAUACUAUAUAUGAAACAAGUGUUUCUUGAAUUACUUUGGAACAGCACGAAUCCCUUGUGACUUUUUUUGUAAUUUAGGUGACUUUAAACAUUUAGAUUCAUUCAUUUUUCUUUAUCUGUAAUGUAAUACUUCCAAUUAAAACGAAUGACUACAUUAUGCUAGUGUAUAGUGUAUACUACUAGUUUCGAUGCGAGCUUGAGAACAUACUUUUUGGACACUUCUUAGGCAAUGCAUAUACUAUUGGAAGGUAGUUAAACAGGGUUGAGCUGCUAGAAUCGACAGAUUUGGACAUUGCAGUCUCAUAUUAUUUUAGAGAUAGUCUAUUAAUCAUUUAUUACAUGAUAUUUAUAAAGAAAACAAUAUGAUGCCAUUUGAAAAUUCAGAUGAAGAUUCCUCCAACUGCUGGUUCUUAGCUACUUCAUAAUCUGGAGAGUGUCUGCUGUUUGCUCUGUGAUAUCAUUUGCCUCCUCAAAAUUUUGCCAGCAGCAGACCUCGGUAUGGCACUGAUGAAACUCACUCUCCUAAUCUUUUUGUAUGGUGCUACCUGCGAAUUUUUGGUAUAAUGUCUGAGUAUUAUAAUCAUGUUUCAGCAGAAGAAAACAGCAGACGGGAGCAGGAGGACUGGUCUCGUAAAUACCUGUCGAUUAACAAAUUGCAUGACUUGAUCUUCCGUUAACUUAUCAGAAGCUGCUCUGACCACAUAUGCUACAGGUAUUUGUCCUGCUGCUUCGUCUUCAUGUCUGCACAAUGCUCUUACUGUGUCAGAACAUUAUAGUAAACAGAAUGCGUUUAUAUGCACACGGCUUUAGGUUAUAUCUACGUUCUUCCAUAUUUUGCAUUUGUGUUUCUGCUAUGUGUGUGGUUUUGGGUGGGGGGAAGGGUAGUUGAAAGUAUGACGCACGGUAUCACUGCUGCAUCAGUUAUGUCUGGAUGGCCUGUUAGUAUUGCUUCCAACUCUGCUGGAGCCACCUGCAUUAUGUCAUUACUUCAGCUAUCUAAAGAUUCUAAACUAUACUUUUAAAUAUGAACACUCUUUUAUGACAUGCUGUGACCAAAUAAUACCUGAUAGCCAUUGUGCUUGAUCAAUUCCUUGAUCCUGUCGACUAUGUAAAUAUAUCCUUCAUCAUCAAAGUAACAAAGAUCGCCUGUUUUGAGCCACCCUUCUGGAUCAAAAGUUGCAGCAGUUGCCUCCUCAUUUCCCAAGUAUUCUUUCAUCACAGUUGGGCUCUUUAACCAAAGUUCUCCUUCCCUGAAAGGCGGUAGUGCCACUCCAGUAUCAGAGUCCACCACCUUGGCACUAAAAUACGGGAGCAGUCUUGCUGAUGAGGCAGGACGAGCCUUUGCUUCCUUAUCAGUAGCAAAGUAAGUUGUAGCUCCACAGCUCUCGGUCAAUCCGUAGCCUGGCCUAAGCUCAACCCAUGGGAAUUUCUUUCUGAACGUCUCAACCACUUCGUUGCUCAGGGGCGCCGCUCCUGAUCCCACUCGUCGCAAGGAUGAUAGGUCAUGCCCUCCUGCAUCAUUCUUAACCAGGCCAAGAAUCACUGGAGGAACAGCAGGUAUGUUAUUCACCUUGUAUUUGUGAAUAGCUUCAAGCAUUGCUUGGAAAUCGUAUCUUUUCAUUAGAACGACUGUGUUGCCCGUGCUGAACAGUCCUAGCGCGAAAAAUGCUAGACCAUAGAUGUGGAAAAUAGGUAUGAAGCAUAAGAUCACAUCAUCGUUGGCCUUGGAUACUUGGACAGACCAUUUCAUCAUUGUCACAACUGAGAUGAAGUUGGAAUGAGUUAACACUACUCCUUUGCUGGUUCCAGUAGUCCCUGAAGAGUACAGAAUCGCGCUGUCUCCGACUGAUUUGGCUUCGCCUCUGUAAUCUCCAAAGAUUCACACUUCUCGAUCAGCUCCUCAACAGAAAGAUGACCGCCUUCUCCACCACCCGUAGUAAGGAGAACGGGCACUCCAGUCGAAGAAAGCUUGGACAUCUCCGAGGGUGCAGAAAUGGCUAGCGUGGCACCCGAAUCACGUACUUGCUUGAUGAUCUCCGCUUGGUAUUGAUUGGAUUAGCAGUGGUGAUCACUGCUCCGAUGUAGAGCGCAGCAAGGCACAUGACUGGAUACAGCAGCGAGUUAGGCGACAAGAUGAACACCACGUCGCCCUUCUUCACCCCGAGCCCAUGAUGCAAACCAGCAGCAAGGCAGGUGAUGGAGCGGUGGAGCUGGGCGUAGGUGACACGCUGGCCCGUUGCCGAGUCGAUGAGCGCAACGCGCCUCUCAGCCUCCUCCGGUGGGGGGAAAUGAGACAGCACGUGCGUGGCUAUGUCGAGAUUAGGCUGAGUUGGGAUCUUUUGGUCUUCGUCGAGACGAACCAAGGAAUGAUAGAUUCCAGUUUGUGAAUCGAAGCCGCUCUUCUUAUCAAAGAGUAGAGAAUUUUGCAGUGAUUCUUCCUCCAUGGUGGCUAUUACCAUUAGCCUCUUCUCACACUGCAUAUUUAUACCAAUCCUUCUAAGGAUAUUUCUACAUUCUCUAUGAUGUUUGUGGUGUCAAAAUCAUAGUUAAAACGAAGUCUCAUUCUGCCAGUUUGUCGACACAGUGGAUUCCUUUGAGGUAAAGGGCUGUCGUUUGAAUUGUUAAUUUGCAUAGUUGCCGGCUAUAACGAGGUGAUGAAAGCAUGAUGCUGCAAGAUUCAAUUUUUAUUCCUUUGGGAUUUUGUCUUUGGUGAGAAAAUGACAUUUGGGACAUCGUUCUUGUGUUUGGACAUUCUCAAGAAAGAUGGAUAUUUUUGCCGCCCAAAAUUGUCGGAAUCUAUUUUGUGGGAGACAGUUUCUUAAUUGUGUAUUAAAAUAAAAAUAAUUAAGUAAGAUUAUUAACUAAAAAAAUAUUUCUUCUUAAACGAAUUGAUCCUAAGGCAUAUUUAAUAUUAGCCUAAUUCUUUACCAUCUAAUAUACUUGUCGCAUUCAAAUAUGAAAUUUUAUUUUUAAAUUGCAAAUGAGAUGUUUUGUCUAAUUUAAAAACCAAAUAAUAAUUGGAACAAAUCUUGAAUUAUUUUUGCAAUGUUAUUUUUAAUCUUGCACGUUUGGGAUGCCUAAAUUAGUGGAAAGAAAUUUUGGAAUAUUUUUAGGAGAAUCUCUAAAUUAGUGGAAACAAAUCAAAAAUAUAAUUUUGGAAGUAAAAAAUGGAGUAAUAAUUUUGAGAACAAAUAAAAUAUAUGGAAAUAAAUCUAGAAUUAUUUUUAGGAUAAUCUUUAAAUUAGUAGAAACAAACUUCCAAAAAUAGCUUAAAAAUCCGAUCUCUAAAUUUUAGAGAGGAUAUUUUACAGAAAUCACUAGCUUAAAACCGAUCAAAUUAAUAAUAGUGACUCCUAAUUAACACGCAUCACAAAAAAUUGAUUUUGCUUUUUUAAAAUCAUAUACCCAGUUUUUCAAAUAAUCAUUUUAAUUAAAAAAACACACAAACUAAAUAUAAAAAUCCAUUGAAACAAUGAAUGGGUGUGGAAAAACCUCACUAAAAAAUUAUUACUAGACAAAAAGUGCCAAAAUUUUAAUAAAACUAGGGGUGGAAAAACAUGAAUUGGUAAAACAUGAAAUAUGUGUUAUGACAUAUUUCAAACUUGUUAUAUGCUGUGGUUAAUGCGACCCACAAAGAUCUAGUAGGAGUUUUAAUGUUAGUUUAUUAAAUAAAACAAGAUUAGCAAAACAUUCUAACUGUCAUUUUGUUGUUUUGAUAUUGCAAGGUUGUAAAGCCUGGAGUCCGGCGUCAGCACAAUUUGUAUAGACAUGAGAAAUUCAAACUCCAACUAGAAAAUGUUGGAAAAUGAAUUAAUACCUAGUAGUAAAAAAGAACCAAACAAAACGUCCCCAUCUUUUUUGUUAUUGGCAUCCCUAAUUAUCCUACAAAAAGAAAAGAUGAUAACAUAAAAAUAUGAAUAUAACAUAAACAUAUGAAUAUGAGCAAAUAAUUAAACGAGUACUACAAGUUUUGAGUUGAACCUUAAUCAUCAUCAAGAGCCAAAGGAGCCAAAGUCAAAUCCUCCUCCUCCUCCUCAUCAGAAUCCUCCUCCUCCGGAAUAUCAAAAUCAACAUAAAUAGGGUGGGCUGAAAAAUAUGCGUCCGCUAAUUCCCAAGCCAAUACGCGAGGCUCUGUUAUGUGUCUGCAGAUUGAUGUAAAAAUUAAUUAGUAUGAUGAUGAAGAUGAUAUUUAUUUGAUAAAUUUAUAAAUGAAAUUAAAUUACCCCCACUCUGAAGCGUGGACAAGCAUAGAAUCUAGAUCUAUUUGUUCACAACACACAUGAUAUUGAUGAUACCCAGCUCUACGCAGCGCUUCAUUCGCUUUCAAACAUGCCUCGUUUCUCACUUGAGUCUGCAUUGCAUUGCAAAGCUUAAUUUGUUAUAUCUUGAAUUCAAUAGAGUAGAGAUGUGGAAUUACGCUUACGCACCUUCAUUGCUUCAUCAAGACCAUCCCAAGGCGUUUUCGGAUGGUUUAUAACAAAAGGGGAAAAGAAGCAUGUUACUUUUCCUACUUCCUUUUCUUCACCAUCACCACCUCUGAUUCCUAAAACAGAAUUCAGCAAAUGAAAUCAGUAGAAAGAAAUUCAAAUGAAAUCAAAUCAGUAGAAAUUGAAUGGAAAUUGAUGACUUACUAUCCCCGGCAACCCACUCGAAUCCAUCUAUGCCCAUCGGUAAGACCCCCAGAACCACGAGAUCAAAAUAAUCACCGGCGCGUGGAAACAUAAAUCUCUGUAUACCUCUGCAACGCCUUGGAAGCUCUUUGCCUCGCGUGGAUCCGCCGUAGGGAGCGAGAAUAUAAUCAGGACGACCCUCCUUCCCAAGUGUUAAAAGAGAUCCAGCUUCACUAUCAAUUCGCAGAAAACAAAUAUCACCAAUACCUUUAUAUAAAACGCGCGAAUCGGCGCCCAUUGCAAUCGCAAAACUUGUCGGAUCAGCCAUUGCAACCUAUGCAAGUCAAUCGGGGUGGGGAUGACGCAAUUUGUAGACAAAGAGGCAACCCAAUUUUGAUCUCACUCCUAAACCCUAAUGCUUUUGGGGUUUUUUUUUUGUAAGAGGCACGCUAUUUAUAGAGAGAGGCAAGCCAAUUUUUGAUCUCCCGCCUAAACCCUAAUGCUUUUGGGAUUAUUUAUUUUUAUUUUUUUGGGGUAGUUUGUGGAUGUCUUCUGCAAUUACAACUGUUUAUUUUAAUUGUAUGUACAAAUUUAUAUUCAACAUUAAGCAUAAAAAAUACGUUUAUAUUUUUUUUGUCAAUUACUAUCAUUUAAAGUUUAUAAAAUGAAUUUGAAAUAAAUAAUUUAUUUAGCUUUAAAGUUUUAGGGUAGGUUCUUUUUGUUUGAUCAAUUUAUGAUAAGGAAAAAAAAGGAUUAACAAAAAUUUAUAUUAUUCCUUAUUUUCUCAUUAUAAAUUUAUCAAUCAAACUAACACACCCUAAAAUGAUUUAAAAAAAUCUCUCAUCUCUCUUAUUUAUUUAAUUUGAUUUUUUUUCUCUCAUCUCUCUUAUUUAUGUUAAUUAGGGAUGUCAAUAAUAAAAACGACGACCCAUUGCUCACUAUCUCUUUGGGCCUUCAAUUGAAAAUCUUGAUUUAUCCAACAAUCAAUUCAAUGAACAAAUCGAAACAUGUGGCAUAUAUUUCGAUCAUAAGUUAUUUAUUUUUAACACUUUUUUUCCAAUGAACUGUCGAAUAACAUUACAUUAAAUAAAAAAAUUGAUCUAAUUUUAAAGUUUAUAUUUAUAAUUCAUAAUGUAAAAUGAUUCAUGGUCGAAAUUCGACGAGUUACUCGCUACCGCAAAUUAAUGAGUCAUUUUCUGUGGUCCGUAAACUUGAAAAUCAUGUACACAUGAUAUACUUGGACUAAUUCAAGAUUUUCAAAUUUUUGCUCUUCCUAGAAAGAGAAAAAAAAACGCGUUAAAUUUGAAUACUAACAAUAAUUGAUAUGGAAAUUUUUGUGAAUUAAUGUGAACGUACAAAAAUAAAGGAAAUAAAUGUCUUGUUAAAUAAUGAAAUUGAACUAUUACACUAUUUUUGUAAAUAUGACAAUUAUUUGCAUAGUUUAUAAAAAUGACCAUCUUUUCAUUUAUUAUAAUCUCUCCAUUUCCAUUGAUAAUGAUAUAGUCUAAAAAUAGAAGUAAUUAUGAUCUUUAAUCAUCUUUAAUUCCCGUACCUAACUUAUGUUACGCCCUAAAUAUAUGGUUUAUUUACUUUAUUUAUAAUCCUAAACACUUUUUUCUUAGUUUUUGUGUUCAGACAAAACGAAUCAUUGUCAAUAAGAGGAAGAAACCUCCACUAAUAUAAGUGAUACAAAAUUUUUGGACACAUAAAUUUAAAAGAAUAUGUAAAUUAGUUAAAAAUAGGGAUUAUAGCCAAAAAAUACACGAACUUUGAUAAAAGUUGCAAUUUUCACCCGAACAUUCAAAUUGGCCAAAAUAUACCUGAACUUAUAUUUUUUGUUGUAAAUUUCACCUCGACGGAGUUCAAUCAUUGCAAGUUCAGGUGAAAUUUACAACAAAAAAUAUAAGUUCAGGUAUAUUUUGGCUAAUUUGAAAGUUCAGGUGAAAAUUACAACUUUUAUCAAAGUUCGUGUAUUUUUUGGGAGUAAUAAACUAAUUAAGUAUGAAUAAAGUAUGACAAGUCAAGGGCGACUCUGUCUUUACCAAAAAAGAAAAAACAAAAAAAAAAAGUCAUUUUAAAGUCAAUAGAAAGCAAAUAUAGUAAGUCUCAACUCAACUCAAAGAAAAGUCCUAUUUGCAAUGGCAGUUGCUUGGCUUCUCAUCUUCUUCUUCUUCGUAACAUUUGUGGACUGUGAAUGCCUCGAUGAUCAAAAACAAUUGUUACUCGAGCUGAGGAGUGAGUUAAUCUUCAAUGUUUCCGACUCCCCUGAUUUAGUGAUGUGGAAUGUGACGGAAACACAUGAUUGUUGCCAAUGGCACGGCGUGGAAUGUGAUGGCGCUGGCCGCGUUAUCACCUUGGACCUCGCCUACAACGCCAUCUCCGGCGGAAUCGGUGAGUCCUCCAGCCUUUUCCGGUUGACAUACUUAUCGAAUC
rnacentral:lncRNA from 1 species